CAGUCGAGGGGCAGCAUAAUGGAUAGCAAUAUCUAUGGUGGCGACCGGCGCACGGGUGCGUAACGCGUAUGCAACCUACCUUUAACAGGGGGAUAACACUGAGAAAUUGGUACUAAUACCCCAUAAUAUCAUAGAAGGCAUCUUUUAUGGUUGAAAAUUCCGAUGGUUAGAGAUGGGCAUGCGUUGUAUUAGCUAGUUGGUGGGGUAACGGCUCACCAAGGCGACGAUACAUAGGGGGACUGAGAGGUUAACCCCCCACACUGGUACUGAGACACGGACCAGACUCCUACGGGAGGCAGCAGUGAGGAAUAUUGGUCAAUGGACGCAAGUCUGAACCAGCCAUGCCGCGUGCAGGAUGACGGCUCUAUGAGUUGUAAACUGCUUUUGUACGAGGGUAAACGCAGAUACGUGUAUCUGUCUGAAAGUAUCGUACGAAUAAGGAUCGGCUAACUCCGUGCCAGCAGCCGCGGUAAUACGGAGGAUUCAAGCGUUAUCCGGGUUUAUUGGGUUUAAAGGGUGCGUAGGCGGUUUGAUAAGUUAGAGGUGAAAUUUCGGGGCUCAACCCUGAACGUGCCUCUAAUACUGUUGAGCUAGAGAGUAGUUGCGGUAGGCGGAAUGUAUGGUGUAGCGGUGAAAUGCUUAGAGAUCAUACAGAACACCGAUUGCGAAGGCAGCUUACCAAACUAUAUCUGACGUUGAGGCACGAAAGCGUGGGGAGCAAACAGGAUUAGAUACCCUGGUAGUCCACGCAGUAAACGAUGAUAACUCGUUGUCGGCGAUACACAGUCGGUGACUAAGCGAAAGCGAUAAGUUAUCCACCUGGGGAGUACGUUCG
rnacentral:rRNA from 1 species